GACGAACGCUGGCGGCGUGCUUAACACAUGCAAGUCGAACGAAGUGGCGAACGGGUGAGUAACGCGUAAUCAACCUGCCCUUCAGAGGGGGACAACAGUUGGAAACGACUGCUAAUACCGCAUACUGAAGGAGGGGAUUGCGUCUGAUUAGCUAGUUGGAGGGGUAACGGCCCACCAAGGCGAUGAUCAGUAGACCGUGCGAGAGGAUGAAAGGACGAAGUGCGACUGAGACGCGAACCAGAACCCUACGGGAGGCAGCAGUGGGGAGUUUGCAGCAAUGGACGAAAGUCUGACGGAGCAGACCCGCGUUAGUGCUGACGGCCUUCGGGUUGUAAAGCUCGGUUAAUCGGGACGCGGUACCGGAAUAGAAAGCCACGGCUAACUACGUGCCAGCCGCCGCGGUAAUAC
rnacentral:rRNA from 1 species